AUGGCCUGGAUUCCUCUCCUCUUCUUCCUCCUUCAUUGCUCAGGGUCUUUCUCCCAAUCUGUGCUGACUCAGUCACCCUCUGCCUCUGCCUCCCUGGGAGCCUCAGUCAAACUCACCUGCACCGUGAGUAGUGAGCACAGCAGCUAUACCAUUUAUUGGUACCAGCAACAUCCAGAGAAGGCUCCUAAGUAUGUGAUGUAUCUUAAUAAUGAUGGAAGCCACAACAAGGGAGAUGGGAUCCCUGAUCGAUUCUCUGGCUCCAGCUCUGGGGCUCAUCGCUACUUAAGCAUCACCGACCUGCAGCCUGAGGAUGAAGCAAUCUAUCACUGUGGAAGAAAUGAAAUGGAAGGAAAAGUUGGUUUUUACCUGUUUGACCUCACUCUUGCUGUCCAUUAA